rnacentral:lncRNA from 1 species
CUUCCACCCUUCCAAGAAGCUUUUUUGGGGUCAAACCUCAGGGUUUUUCGGAGGAUUUUUGGGGUCAAACCUCGGGGUUUUGAGAAAAUUCCAUGGGGGGAAACCCCAGGGGUUUAAGAAGCUUUUUUGGGGUGAAACUUUGGGGUUUCAAAAACCUUUUUUGGGGUGAAACUUUGAGGUUUUAAAGAACUUUUUGGGGGUGAAACUUUGGGAUUUCAAGAACCUUUUUUGGGGUGAAAUUUGGGGUUUUAAGGAACCUUUUAUGGGGCAAAACUUUUGGGUUUCAAGAACCUUUUUUGGGGUGAAAUGUUGGGGUUUUAAAGAACUUUUUUGGGGUGAAAGUUUGGGGUUUCAAAAACCUUUUUGGGUUGAAACUUUGAGGUUUUAGGGAACUUUUUUGGAGUGAAAGUUUGGGAUUUCAAGAACCUUUUCUGGGGCAAAACUUUUGGGUUUCAAGGACCUUUUUUUGGGGUGAAACCUUGGGUUUUUUAGGGUUUUAAGCAGCUUUUUUGAGAUAAAACCUCAACAUUUCCUCCCAAUCCUUUUAGGGGAUUCUUCAACCACCCCCUCCCAUUUUUUGGGGUGAAUCCCCCCGAUUUUGGGGCUUUUCCUGCUCAAUUUUCCCCUUUUUUUCUCUUUUCCAGUUUCUGCUUCUCGGAGAUGGCGCCGGUGUGCGCCGUGGUCGGGGGGGUGAUGGGCCAGGAGGUGGUCAAGGCUCUGUCCCAGCGGGACCCCCCCCACAACAAUUUCUUCUUCUUCGACGGCGUCAGGGGCCAGGGCAUGGUGGAGUGCCUGGGACCCCCGAAAUGAGGGAGCCCCAAUUUGGGGAGGGGGUUCGGAGGGUCCUGGACCCCCCCCAAGGCCACCCCAGAAUUUGGGGAGGGGGUUUGGGGGUCCUGAACCCCCCCAGGGUUUUAGGGGAGGGGGUUUGGGGUGCCUGGGACCCCCAAAAUGAGGGAGCCCCAAUUUGGGGAGGGGGUUUGGGGUGGUCCUGAACCCCCCCCAGGGGCACCCCAGAAUUUGGGGAGGGGGUUUGGGGUGCCUGGGACCCCCGAAAUGAGGGAGCCCCAA